rnacentral:rRNA from 1 species
AUACGUAGGGGGCGAGCGUUGUCCGGAAUUACUGGGCGUAAAGAGCGUGUAGGCGGGUAUUUAAGUCAGGUGUGAAAGACCGGGGCUCAACUCCGGGGUUGCACUUGAAACUGGGUAUCUUGAGGGCAGGAGAGGAAAGCGGAAUUCCUGGUGUAGCGGUGAAAUGCGUAGAUAUCAGGAGGAACACCGGUGGCGAAGGCGGCUUUCUGGACUGACCCUGACGCUGAGACGCGAAAGCGUGGGGAGCAAACAGGAUUAGAUACCCUGGUAGUCCACGCUGUAAACGAUGGGCACUAGGUGUAGGAGGUAUCGACCCCUUCUGUGCCGCAGCUAACGCAAUAAGUGCCCCGCCUGGGGAGUACGGUCGCAAGGCUGAA